rnacentral:rRNA from 1 species
AGAGUUUGAUCAUGGCUCAGGACGAACGCUGGCGGCGUGCUUAACACAUGCAAGUCAGGGGGAAAGGGUAGCAAUAUCCGAGUACACCGGCGCAUGGGUGAGUAACGCGUAGGCAAUUUGCCUCCGGGACGGGAAUAAUCCAGCGAAAGUUGGACUAAUACCCGAUGAUGCAGCGGCAUCGCAUGAUGACAGUUGUUAAAGGUCCGCAAGGAUGCCCGAAGAUGAGCCUGCGUCCCAUUAGGUAGUUGGCGGGGUAACGGCCCACCAAGCCUUCGAUGGGUAGCUGGUCUGAGAGGAUGAUCAGCCACACUGGAACUGAGACACGGUCCAGACUCCUACGGGAGGCAGCAGUGAGGAAUAUUGCGCAAUGGCCGAAAGGCUGACGCAGCGACGCCGCGUGAAGGAUGAAGUCCGUUAGGAUGUAAACUUCUUUUGUAGGGGAUGAAUGUCCCGACUUGUCGGGAUUGACCGUACCCUGCGAAUAAGGAUCGGCUAACUACGUGCCAGCAGCCGCGGUAAUACGUAGGAUCCGAGCGUUGUCCGGAUUUACUGGGUGUAAAGGGCGUGUAGGUGGGGUCUUAAGUCGGUGGUGAAAUCCAGCAGCUUAACUGUUGAAUUGCCAUCGAUACUGGGGCUCUUGAGUGCGGCAGAGGGAGAUGGAAUUCAUGGUGUAGCGGUGAAAUGUGUAGAUAUCAUGAAGAACACCAGUAGCGAAGGC